UUAAAUUGAAGAGUUUGAUCAUGGCUCAGAUUGAACGCUGGCGGCAGGCCUAACACAUGCAAGUCGAACGGUAACAGGAAGCAGCUUGCUGCUUUGCUGACGAGUGGCGGACGGGUGAGUAAUGUCUGGGAAACUGCCCGAUGGAGGGGGAUAACUACUGGAAACGGUAGCUAAUACCGCAUAACGUCGCAAGACCAAAGAGGGGGACCUUAGGGCCUCUUGCCAUCGGAUGUGCCCAGAUGGGAUUAGCUAGUAGGUGGGGUAAAGGCUCACCUAGGCGACGAUACCUAGCUGGUCUGAGAGGAUGACCAGCCACACUGGAACUGAGACACGGUCCAGACUCCUACGGGAGGCAGCAGUGGGGAAUAUUGCACAAUGGGCGCAAGCCUGAUGCAGCCAUGCCGCGUGUAUGAAGAAGGCCUUCGGGUUGUAAAGUACUUUCAGCGGGGAGGAAGGGAGUAAAGUUAAUACCUUUGCUCAUUGACGUUACCCGCAGAAGAAGCACCGGCUAACUCCGUGCCAGCAGCCGCGGUAAUACGGAGGGUGCAAGCGUUAAUCGGAAUUACUGGGCGUAAAGCGCACGCAGGCGGUUUGUUAAGUCAGAUGUGAAAUCCCCGGGCUCAACCUGGGAACUGCAUCUGAUACUGGCAAGCUUGAGUCUCGUAGAGGGGGGUAGAAUUCCAGGUGUAGCGGUGAAAUGCGUAGAGAUCUGGAGGAAUACCGGUGGCGAAGGCGGCCCCCUGGACGAAGACUGACGCUCAGGUGCGAAAGCGUGGGGAGCAAACAGGAUUAGAUACCCUGGUAGUCCACGCCGUAAACGAUGUCGACUUGGAGGUUGUGCCCUUGAGGCGUGGCUUCCGGAGCUAACGCGUUAAGUCGACCGCCUGGGGAGUACGGCCGCAAGGUUAAAACUCAAAUGAAUUGACGGGGGCCCGCACAAGCGGUGGAGCAUGUGGUUUAAUUCGAUGCAACGCGAAGAACCUUACCUGGUCUUGACAUCCACGGAAGUUUUCAGAGAUGAGAAUGUGCCUUCGGGAACCGUGAGACAGGUGCUGCAUGGCUGUCGUCAGCUCGUGUUGUGAAAUGUUGGGUUAAGUCCCGCAACGAGCGCAACCCUUAUCCUUUGUUGCCAGCGGUCCGGCCGGGAACUCAAAGGAGACUGCCAGUGAUAAACUGGAGGAAGGUGGGGAUGACGUCAAGUCAUCAUGGCCCUUACGACCAGGGCUACACACGUGCUACAAUGGCGCAUACAAAGAGAAGCGACCUCGCGAGAGCAAGCGGACCUCAUAAAGUGCGUCGUAGUCCGGAUUGGAGUCUGCAACUCGACUCCAUGAAGUCGGAAUCGCUAGUAAUCGUGGAUCAGAAUGCCACGGUGAAUACGUUCCCGGGCCUUGUACACACCGCCCGUCACACCAUGGGAGUGGGUUGCAAAAGAAGUAGGUAGCUUAACCUUCGGGAGGGCGCUUACCACUUUGUGAUUCAUGACUGGGGUGAAGUCGUAACAAGGUAACCGUAGGGGAACCUGCGGUUGGAUCACCUCCUUACCUUAAAGAAGC
rnacentral:rRNA from 1 species